AGUAGUGUGCAUGGGAAAACGGACCAAAACCACAAGUACAAGCCAUCCUUUGACCUUGGGAGCUGUCCAUAUUCUCAUCAUAGAAGCUUCCCAUCAGAUUUCUGAACCAAAGGGAAGGAAAGGAGAGGACUUUAGAGAGAUAAGUGAGAGAGAGUGAACAUCAUCUUCAUCUUAUCUUCAUCCUUCUUACCAAAAACUGAAAUCUUCAUCAUCUCUAAACACCACCAAGAAAUCAUCUUUUGUCUUCCAUUCCUUGACAAAAGAGUUAGCAUUCAAGGUGAAGAACACCUUGUUCAUUUCAUUACGAGGAGCUAAAGGCUAGGAAGGAAAUCAGACUAGAGGAGUUAAGGAGAAAGCCACCGAUCGAGGAUGAGCAAGAGACCGAUGGACACAGGCGAGGAGACGCCGCAAGGAAAUGAUGUGACGACGAGCUAUCGAUUCAGAGAUUAGCCGUGUGGAGAUUGCGGGGAGCUCGGUGGGCAUAUGAGCCUUUUAGUUUAUUUUCCUUUUGGAGUAUAUGUUGUAAUUAAAUACUUUGAUGUAAGGGUACUAUUAUUGGGUAUUAUUUAUUACUCAUCGUAGAGCAUGUUUUGGAAAGUAUUAGAAAGUAUUAUGUUUCAGAAGGAAAAA